rnacentral:lncRNA from 10 species
ACUGGGUCAAGUUUGUUAAUCAGGUUGGUCAAAUUAUCUACAUCUUUACUGAUAUUUUUGUCUGUUUUUCUAUAAAUUACUGAGAGAGGCUAAAGCCCGCCACUAUUAUUAUGAAUUUGUUUAUUUCUCCUUUGAGUUUUGUUAAUUUUUGUUUUAUGCAUUUAGAGAUUGUGUUAUUAGGUUCAUACCCAUUUAAAAUUGACGUUUUCUGGUAGAGUGAACCCUUUAUUAUGUGAAAUGGCUUUCUCUACCACUCACAGUGGUAUUUUUUUCACUUUCCCC